UACAGAGGGUGCAAGCGUUAUUCGGAAUUACUGGGCGUAAAGCGUAUGUAGGUGGGUAAAUAAGUCAGUUGUGAAAUCCCGGAGCUCAACUUCGGAAUGGCAGUUGAAACUAUUUAUCUCGAGUUCGGAAGAGGGUAGUGGAAUUCUUGGUGUAGAGGUGAAAUUCGUAGAUAUCAAGAGGAACACCUGAGGCGAAGGCGGCUACCUGGUCCGAAACUGACACUGAGAUACGAGAGCGUGGGGAGCAAACAGGAUUAGAUACCCUGGUAGUCCACGCUGUAAACGAUGCAUACUAACUGUUUGGGGAAUUGACCCCCUGAGUGGUGAAGCCAACGCAUUAAGUAUGCCGCCUGGGGAGUACGGUCGCAAGAUUAAA
rnacentral:rRNA from 1 species